GUGCUCGCUUCGGAAGCACAUAUACAAAAAUUUGAAUGAUACAGAGAAGAUUAGCAUGGCCCAUGUGUAAGGAUGACAUGCAAAUUUGUGAAGUGUUCCAUAUUAAA